rnacentral:rRNA from 1 species
GGGUUGUGAGGUUAAGCGACUAAGCGUACACGGUGGAUGCCCUGGCAGUCAGAGGCGAUGAAGGGCGUGCUAAUCUGCGAUAAGCGCCGGUAAGGUGAUAUGAACCGUUAUAACCGGCGAUACCCGAAUGGGGAAACCCAGUGUGACUCGUCACACUAUCAUUAACUGAAUCCAUAGGUUAAUGAGGCGAACCGGGGGAACUGAAACAUCUAAGUACCCCGAGGAAAAGAAAUCAACCGAGAUUCCCCCAGUAGCGGCGAGCGAACGGGGAGGAGCCCAGAGCCUGAAUCAGCAUGUGUGUUAGUGGAAGCGUCUGGAAAGGCGCGCGAUACAGGGUGACAGCCCCGUACACAAAAGCGCAUGUGCUGUGAGCUCGAUGAGUAGGGCGGGACACGUGGUAUCCUGUCUGAAUAUGGGGGGACCAUCCUCCAAGGCUAAAUACUCCUGACUGACCGAUAGUGAACCAGUACCGUGAGGGAAAGGCGAAAAGAACCCCGGCGAGGGGAGUGAAAAAGAACCUGAAACCGUGUACGUACAAGCAGUGGGAGCCCCACCACCAAAGCAUUUGCUGUACCGCGUUGACGGAGCGAAGCGACGUCAAACCGAUAAAACAGCAGUGUAAAGUGAGCCGCAGGGCGCUUUGCGCGACAGCGCAAAGGCAGGCGGUUUCGCGUAGCGAAAGCGAAUGCUUUGGGGUGGGGUGACUGCGUACCUUUUGUAUAAUGGGUCAGCGACUUAUAUUCUGUAGCAAGGUUAACCGAAUAGGGGAGCCGGAGGGAAACCGAGUCUUAAUUGGGCGUUAAGUUGCAGGGUAUAGACCCGAAACCCGGUGAUCUAGCCAUGGGCAGGUUGAAGGUUGGGUAACACUAACUGGAGGACCGAACCGACUAAUGUUGAAAAAUUAGCGGAUGACCUGUGGCUGGGGGUGAAAGGCCAAUCAAACCGGGAGAUAGCUGGUUCUCCCCGAAAGCUAUUUAGGUAGCGCCUCGUGAAUUCAUCUCCGGGGGUAGAGCACUGUUUCGGCUAGGGGGCCAUCCCGGCUUACCAACCCGAUGCAAACUGCGAAUACCGGAGAAUGUUAUCACGGGAGACACACGGCGGGUGCUAACGUCCGUCGUGAAGAGGGAAACAACCCAGACCGCCAGCUAAGGUCCCAAAGUCAUGGUUAAGUGGGAAACGAUGUGGGAAGGCCCAGACAGCCAGGAUGUUGGCUUAGAAGCAGCCAUCAUUUAAAGAAAGCGUAAUAGCUCACUGGUCGAGUCGGCCUGCGCGGAAGAUGUAACGGGGCUAAACCAUGCACCGAAGCUGCGGCAGCGACACUGUGUGUUGUUGGGUAGGGGAGCGUUCUGUAAGCCUGUGAAGGUGUGUCGUGAGGCAUGCUGGAGGUAUCAGAAGUGCGAAUGCUGACAUAAGUAACGAUAAAGCGGGUGAAAAGCCCGCUCGCCGGAAGACCAAGGGUUCCUGUCCAACGUUAAUCGGGGCAGGGUGAGUCGACCCCUAAGGCGAGGCCGAAAGGCGUAGUCGAUGGGAAACGGGUUAAUAUUCCCGUACUUGGUGUUACUGCGAAGGGGGGACGGAGAAGGCUAUGUUGGCCGGGCGACGGUUGUCCCGGUUUAAGCGUGUAGGUGUGUGUUCCAGGUAAAUCCGGUUCACUUUAACACUGAGGCGUGACGACGAGGCACUACGGUGCUGAAGCAACAAAUGCCCUGCUUCGGGAAAAGCCUCUAAGCAUCAGGUAACAUCAAAUCGUACCCCAAACCGACACAGGUGGUCAGGUAGAGAAUACCAAGGCGCUUGAGAGAACUCGGGUGAAGGAACUAGGCAAAAUGGUGCCGUAACUUCGGGAGAAGGCACGCUGACACGUAGGUGAAGUGAUUUACUCAUGGAGCUGAAGUCAGUCGAAGAUACCAGCUGGCUGCAACUGUUUAUUAAAAACACAGCACUGUGCAAACACGAAAGUGGACGUAUACGGUGUGACGCCUGCCCGGUGCCGGAAGGUUAAUUGAUGGGGUCAGCGCAAGCGAAGCUCCUGAUCGAAGCCCCGGUAAACGGCGGCCGUAACUAUAACGGUCCUAAGGUAGCGAAAUUCCUUGUCGGGUAAGUUCCGACCUGCACGAAUGGCGUAAUGAUGGCGGGCUGUCUCCACCCGAGACUCAGUGAAAUUGAACUCGCUGUGAAGAUGCAGUGUACCCGCGGCAAGACGGAAAGACCCCGUGAACCUUUACUAUAGCUUGACACUGAACAUUGAGCCUUGAUGUGUAGGAUAGGUGGGAGGCUUUGAAGUGUGGACGCCAGUCUGCAUGGAGCCGACCUUGAAAUACCACCCUUUAAUGUUUGAUGUUCUAACGUGGACCCGUUACCCGGGUUGCGGACAGUGUCUGGUGGGUAGUUUGACUGGGGCGGUCUCCUCCUAAAGAGUAACGGAGGAGCACGAAGGUUGGCUAAUCUGGUCGGACAUCAGGAGGUUAGUGCAAUGGCAUAAGCCAGCUUGACUGCGAGCGUGACGGCGCGAGCAGGUGCGAAAGCAGGUCAUAGUGAUCCGGUGGUUCUGAAUGGAAGGGCCAUCGCUCAACGGAUAAAAGGUACUCCGGGGAUAACAGGCUGAUACCGCCCAAGAGUUCAUAUCGACGGCGGUGUUUGGCACCUCGAUGUCGGCUCAUCACAUCCUGGGGCUGAAGUAGGUCCCAAGGGUAUGGCUGUUCGCCAUUUAAAGUGGUACGCGAGCUGGGUUUAGAACGUCGUGAGACAGUUCGGUCCCUAUCUGCCGUGGGCGCUGGAGAACUGAGGGGGGCUGCUCCUAGUACGAGAGGACCGGAGUGGACGCAUCACUGGUGUUCGGGUUGUCAUGCCAAUGGCACUGCCCGGUAGCUAAAUGCGGAAGAGAUAAGUGCUGAAAGCAUCUAAGCACGAAACUUGCCCCGAGAUGAGUUCUCCCUGAGACUUAGAGUCUCCUGAAGGAACGUUGAAGACGACGACGUUGAUAGGCCGGGUGUGUAAGCGCAGCGAUGCGUUGAGCUAACCGGUACUAAUGAACCGUGAGGCUUAACCUUACAACGCCGAAG